rnacentral:rRNA from 1 species
GACGUAGGAGGCGAGCGUUGUCCGGAAUCACUGGGCGUAAAGGGCGCGUAGGUGGCGUCGCAAGUCAACGGUGAAAGCUCGACGCUCAACGUCGAGUCGGCCGUCGAGACUGCGAGGCUUGAGCACUGUAGAGGCAGAUGGAAUUCCGGGUGUAGCGGUGGAAUGCGUAGAGAUCCGGAAGAACACCGGUGGCGAAGGCGGUCUGCUGGGCAGUUGCUGACACUGAGGCGCGACAGCGUGGGGAGCAAACAGG